UACGUAGGGUGCAAGCGUUGUCCGGAAUUAUUGGGCGUAAAGAGCUCGUAGGCGGUUUGUCGCGUCUGCUGUGAAAACCCGAGGCUCAACCUCGGGCCUGCAGUGGGUACGGGCAAACUAGAGUGCGGUAGGGGAGAAUGGAAUUCCUGGUGUAGCGGUGGAAUGCGCAGAUAUCAGGAGGAACACCGAUGGCGAAGGCAGUUCUCUGGGCCGUAACUGACGCUGAGGAGCGAAAGCGUGGGGAGCAAACAGG
rnacentral:rRNA from 1 species